rnacentral:lncRNA from 1 species
GUCAAUGUGGAGGCUAUAUACAGGGUGUUACGGUACAGAGUCAAUGUGGAGGCUAUAUACAGGGUGUUACAGUACAGAGUCAAUGUGGAGGCUAUAUACAGGGUGUACUGGUACAGAGUCAAUGUGGAGGCUAUAUACAGGGGGUACUGGUACAGAGUCAAUGUGGAGGCUAUAUACAGGGGGUACCGGUACAGAGUCAAUGUGGAGACUAUAUACAGGGGGUACCGGUACAGAGUCAAUGUGGAGGCUAUAUACAGGGUAUUACGGUACAGAGUCAAUGUGGAGGCUAUAUACAGGGGGUACCGGUACAGAGUCAAUGUGGAGGCUAUAUACAGGGUGUUACGGUACAGAGUCAAUGUGGAGGCUAUAUACAGGGGGUACUGGUACAGAGUCAAUGUGGAGGCUAUAUACAGGGGGUACCGGUACAGAGUCAAUGUGGAGGCUAUAUACAGGGGGUACCGGUACAGAGUCAAUGUGGAGACUAUAUACAGGGGGUACCGGUACAGAGUCAAUGUGGAGGCUAUAUACAGGGUAUUACGGUACAG